GAUAUCACUGCUGUUCAAGGAUAUUGCAGUGUAUGUGUUUCAUCAGGGUUGUGUGACCGAUAAUGAUUAGCUGUCAAGCCUCCCUUGCUUUGGCAAUUCUGUUGACCAUUCAAGGUGUAUGUGGUCAGAGGUGGAAAGUCACUUACCAACCUGAGAGUGUCUGUGCAUUUGUGGGAGCUUCAGUGAACAUGUCUUGCUCUUACACCUACCCCAGUGACUUGACCAUUAAACAGUACUGGUCAAAAGAGAGCAAUCCAAAUCCUCCUGAUCUUAUGGUCAACCCAGACUACACAUACAGAACCAGCAUAGGCUGUCAGCAAGGAGCACAAAUAUGUCAUAUGCAUAUUAAAACAUUAAACAUGUUAGAUACAGGCAAAUAUUUCUGCAGUAUAAUAACAACAACUGCAGGCAAGCUGUUGAU